AUGAAACUGACUACUUUUUCCUUCCUUUUCCAGUACAAAUUGAACACUUUUAUAAACAUUGUUAAAAGCUCUAUUGUUUAUUUGUGUCUAGGAUGUCUCUAAAUGGGACUAUAGUGUUCCUCAUAGCAAUGAAAUGCUGGCUAAAACUUGCUGCAGGCGUGAGACUUAACAGGCUGUUCAUAAUGACUGACAAGUUCCAGCUGGAACACAGGAAAAGGGCCAAAUAUAAGAUAUUUAACUGUAAAGACCAUUCAGUGACUCGCUGGUAUGUUCUAAUCCGCAUCAAAUAUUCACCAUCUGCUUAAAGUUGUCCAGAGGUUACAGCCAUCUUUAUUCACUUUAUUCAUCAGGAAUGCCUGAGCAUUCCUGCUUUCUUCAUAAGCAUCUACAUAGAACCUCCAGAUCUUUUCUGGGACAGUAAAUGGGCUAACACCACGAUCCUUCAUGCUGUAUAGUCU
rnacentral:lncRNA from 1 species